AAUUUUGGACAAUGGGCGCAAGCCUGAUCCAGCCAUGCCGCGUGAGUGAAGAAGGCCUUCGGGUUGUAAAGCCCUUUUGUACGGGAAGAAAUCAUCCGGGUUAUUACCCUGGGUGGAUGACGGUACAGUAAGUAAAAGCACCGGAUCACUUCGCGCCAGCAGCCGCGGUAAAACGAAGGGUGCAAGCGUUAAUCGGAAUUACUGGUCGUAAGGCGUGAGUAGGUGGUUGUGCAGGUCUGUCGUGAAAGCCCGGGGCUCAACCUGGGAAUUGCGAUGGAUACUGGGCGACUGGAGUGCGGUAGAGGAUGGCGGAAUUCCCGGUGUAGCGGUGAAAUGCGUAGAGAUCGGGAGGAACAGCCGUGGCGAAGGCAGCCAGCUGGACCAGCACUGACACUGAGGCACGAAAGCGUGGGGAGCAAACAGG
rnacentral:rRNA from 1 species